GGCCCAGCAGCACUGCAUAAAUAGAGGAAAUGAGAAAUCUUCAGAAUCCAACCAUUAACUUGGAUCUUUAAAGUCACAUAAACACUAUGGUGCUGCACUAUCUGUCUAUACAAAAGCAUCUUUAGAAGGGCAUAACGUAGUAAUUGGACAACCAGAAAGGCUUAAAUUAGUAGCUACCAAAAUGGUUUUUCUCAAAAGAAGAAGAAGAAGAAGAAG
rnacentral:misc_RNA from 1 species